GGAUUAGGCAUGCAAGUCGAACGCUCAUCUUCGGAUGGGAGUGGCGGAAGGGUGAGGAACACGUGAAUAAUCUGCCCUCAAGUUUGGAAUAACUUUCCGAAAGGAAAGCUAAUACCGAAUGUGGUUGAUUUACCGCAUGGUGAAUCAACUAAAGAUUUAUUGCUUGGGGAUGAGUUCGCGUCCCAUUAGCUAGUUGGUGAGGUAACGGCUCACCAAGGCCGAGAUGGGUAGCUGGUCUGAGAGGAUGAUCAGCCACACUGGGACUGAGACACUGCCCAGACUCCUACGGGAGGCUGCAGUCGAGAAUCUUUUGCAAUGCGCGAAAGCGUGACAAAGCAAUGCCGCGUGCCGGAUGAAGGUCUUCGGAUUGUAAACGGCUGUCACCCGUGACGAAAAAUGACGGUAACGGGAGAGGAAGCCACGGCUAACUACGUGCCAGCAGCCGCGGUAAUACGUAGGUGGCGAGCGUUGUUCGGAUUUAUUGGGCGUAAAGGGUCCGUAGGUGGUUUGUUAAGUCUGACGUGAAAUCCCAUGGCUCAACCAUGGAACUGCGUUGGAAACUGAUGAACUGGAGUGUUGUAGAGGUAAGCGGAAUACCAGGUGUAGCGGUGGAAUGCGUAGAUAUCUGGUAGAACACCGAAAGCGAAGGCAGCUUACUGGGCAACAACUGACACUGAGGGACGAAAGCGUGGGGAGCAAACAGGAUUAGAUACCCUGGUAGUCCACGCCGUAAACGUUGUCAACUUGAUGUGGGAGGAUUUAACCCCUCCCAUGUCAAAGCUAACGCGAUAAGUUGACCGCCUGGGGACUACGGCCGCAAGGCUAAAACUCAAAGGAAUUGACGG
rnacentral:rRNA from 1 species